UACAGAGGUCUCAAGCGUUGUUCGGAUUCAUUGGGCGUAAAGGGUGCGUAGGCGGCGCGGUAAGUCGGAUGUGAAAUCUCGGAGCUUAACUUCGAAACUGCAUUCGAUACUGCCGUGCUUGAGGACUGGAGAGGAGACUGGAAUUUACGGUGUAGCGGUGAAAUGCGUAGAUAUCGUAAGGAAGACCAGUGGCGAAGGCGGGGUCUCUGGACAGUUCCUGACGCUGAGACACGAAGGCCCAGGGGGAGCAAAACGGGGAUUAGAAAACCCCUG
rnacentral:rRNA from 1 species